rnacentral:rRNA from 1 species
GACGUAGGGUGCAAGCGUUGUCCGGAAUUAUUGGGCGUAAAGAGCUCGUAGGCGGUCUGUCGCGUCGGCUGUGAAAACCCGGGGCUCAACCCCGGGCCUGCAGUCGAUACGGGCAGACUAGAGUGCGGUAGGGGAGACUGGAAUUCCUGGUGUAGCGGUGAAAUGCGCAGAUAUCAGGAGGAACACCGAUGGCGAAGGCAGGUCUCUGGGCCACUACUGACGCUGAGAAGCGAAAGCAUGGGGAGCGAACAGG